GUGUGUGUCUCUCUCUCUCUUUCUCGCUCUUGCGCGCCCCGUCGGCCGUCGCUGAUUGGCUGCACCGGGGCCGAGCUGCCUUCACUCUUGCCUGAGGAGCUCGCUGGACCUCCUCCACUCUCGCUCUGGAGCGCCAUUCAUAAAAGUGCACCGAGGAGGACGACCAGGACCAUGAGCGAGCUGCACCAGCACCACCGCCACCAAAGUGGGACUUUGUAGAGCUGAUAAGUAGGAGUAGGAACUUUUUUUUGGGGGGGGGGGUUGCUUAUCGUUUCCCCCCACCACCACCACCGGUAAGCGUUGGAUCCGUCGGCCUACUGCGACUCCCCGGCGUACGGCCCGGACCUGUGCCCCAACAUGAUCGCCACGCAGGCCAAGCUGGUGUACCAGCUCAACAAGUACCACGGCGAGCGGUGCCAGGCGCGCAAGGCCGCCAUCGCCAAGACCAUCCGCGAGGUGUGUAAGGUGGUGUCCGACGUGCUGAAGGAGGUGGAGGUGCAGGAGCCGCGCUUCAUCAGCUCCCUGAGCGAGAUCGACGCGCGCUACGAGGGCAUGGAGGUCACCUCGCCCAACGAGUUCGAGGUGGUGCUCUACCUCAACCAGAUGGGCGUCUUCAACUUCGUGGACGACGGCUCGCUGCCCGGCUGCGCCGUGCUCAAGCUGAGCGACGGCCGCAAGCGCAGCAUGUCCCUGUGGGUGGAGUUCAUCACCGCGUCCGGGUACCUGUCGGCGCGGAAGAUCCGCUCCCGCUUCCAGACGCUUGUGGCGCAGGCGGUGGACAAGUGCAGCUACCGCGACGUGGUGAAGAUGGUGGCGGACACCAGCGAGGUGCGCCUGCGCAUCCGCGAGCGCUACGUGGUGCAAAUCACGCCGGCAUUCAAGUGCACCGGCAUCUGGCCCCGGAGCGCGGCGCAGUGGCCGGCGGCGCACAUCCCCUGGCCGGGGCCCAACCGCGUGGCCGAGGUGAAGGCGGAGGGCUUCAACCUGCUCUCCAAGGAGUGCUACUCGCUCACCGGCAAGCAGAGCUCGGCCGAGAGCGACGCGUGGGUGCUACAGUUCAGCGAGGCCGAGAAUAGGCUGCUCAUGGCCGGCUGCCGGAAGAAGUGCCUGUCGGUGCUCAAGACGCUGCGGGACCGCCACCUGGAGCUGCCCGGCCAGCCGCUCAACAGCUACCACAUGAAGACGCUGCUGCUGUACGAGUGCGAGAAGCAUCCCAGGGAGGCCGACUGGGACGAGGCGUGCCUGGGGGACCGGCUCAACGGCAUCCUGCUGCAGCUCAUCUCCUGCCUACAGUGCCGCAGAUGCCCGCACUACUUCCUGCCCAACCUGGACCUCUUUCAGGGCAAGCCGCACUCGGCCCUGGAGGCGGCCGCCAAGCAGACGUGGAGGCUGGCGAGGGAGAUCCUCACCAACGCCAAGAGCUUGGACAAGUUAUAAAAAAAAAAAAAAAAAAAAAAAAAAAAAAAAAACUCCCGGCUCUUGUUUUCCUUUUGUUUUGCAAGUUGACUGUGAUAUAAAUAUGACAACAACAACAACAACAACAACAACAAAAAAGAGAAAAACACCGUUUCGAGGUUUUGGAGCGAAAAAAAAAAUGGUGCAACAGAAGAAGGAAAAGCAAAGAAACAGAAGAAUAAACAUUUUGAAACCUGUUUCCGCUCACAUCACAAGUGGAUUUACCACGGUAAGUACCACCUACCAGCAAGCCGACUCACCGUGCUCAGCAGCGGCCUUGAGCGUGGCUUCCGAGUGGGUGGAUCCGAAGGGGUUCCUGACGAAGCGGCGUCGCCGUCUUAAGUCGUCCUCCCAGUAGUCCAGGCGCCAAAACUCCCUGGGCCGGCUGCAGCGAGACAGAAAGAGAAUUUUGCAGAACCUUUACAGCCUGGCCGGCCGGGCAUCUUCCAUGGACCAGGAAGGUGCCUGUGACCCUUCAGCAAGCCCCUCUACACAAUUUCCAACCUGUACAGCACAGAUCAUCAAGGGCGGUAGCAGGGAGCGCUGGAUUCCCAAGAUAAAGGCCAUUUUGGGAGGGGCGCAAACGGCAAAAUAAAUGACCUGCUGGUGCCUGGGCGUAAUUACAGCUGCGGUUGAGUGCACCACUCUAUCAGGAGGAAGAGGAGGGUGAAGGUGUUAGUCAAAGGAGAUAGCCUUUGACUAACUACUGGCCCCUGACAAUCGAUACACAGCACAUAUUGCACCUUGCGAGAAAGUGGAAGGGGGGGACCUCCUCAAUGGUUUUUCAUUCAGAUAUUGAUCAGCCCACCUUUUAUCGUGACCUUGGCCAUAUACUUUCUUUAGUAUAUGAAAUCAUAAAUCUGACAGUUGCAACCCAGGUGCAAUGGAGCAAGCUGAGAGCUGCCAUCUUUCAUAGAUCCCAAUGAGACAUUCCGGAGCGGUUAGGCAGAGGAUGUUGAAGAUCAAGAGACAACAUUAAAAGAGCGUGUUUUGGGAGUACAGUGGUACCCUGACUCACAAGUUUCAUUUGUUCAGUGACCAUGCUCCUAACUAAAAGCAAUUGCAUCUCAAACCAUCUGUCCACACGGAAACGAAUGGAAACGCCAUUAGGUUGUUCUAUCUCCCAUAAGACCAACAAGAAUUUUUGUAACGUGUUGUCAAUAAGAAAAAUGGCACUCUACAGUAUUUCACUUAAAUAAAAACAAAUGUAAAGAAUUAAACAGUUUUUGGAACCAUGAUUUCAUGCAGUAAAUUCAUUGUGCUGAUAAUGCUAGUGUUCACCCCUUGGGCACCAGGGGGCUUUACAAAAGCUACAUACACAUAUAUAUACACAUGAAGAAGACUGUUGCAACUGCUCUGGAAGCUGCAGAAAUAUUAGUCACAGAGGAUAAAGAAAAUAUGCCUUUGAAUAUUACUUUGCUUGUCUACAUGGGUUAUUGCUGCAUGUUUGUGUUCAAAUAUCUGACUGCAACAUCUAUGCUAGUUUUAUUAGCCUGUCAAUAGCGUUUCGCAUUGUGUGUUAGCAUUUAGAUAGCAGAUUGUUGGGUUAAAUACACAUGUAAUUGUCUUUGUUUUGUUUAGUUUUUGUUUAACUGGGAGUGGAAAUAAAGGGUUAGAAAGCACUUGGCCUACUUUUUGUAGAAUUGUUUUUAUUUGUCAAACUGCUGCUUGAGAUUACAAAAUUACAAAAUUGUGUAAUUCAGAAUCAUUAUUAAACUACGGCGGUACCAAUGAAGUCAAAAGAGCGACCUGGAAGUCAUAAAAUUCAGAAUCCGAGCUGAGCGUAUUGGACAUGCUCAAAUCUACAUAAAUGACCUAAACAAUCACCAUUGACCACUUUAUAUUGUUGAGAAAUAAAACGAAAAAAGUUGGCAGGGGCACAAAAAGUUUUAAAAAUCAUUAAAUGAUUAAUCAUUAACAAUGAAGACUCGUUUUUGUAAGGCAUGAUCAUUUAUCCAUCCAUAAAUGCAAAUAAAAGCAUUUUGUGUUUUCAUUAUACUCUUAACAUGAAUCUAAACGACAACAAGAACCAUUCUUAAAUUGAGCAGAAGGUAGAAAAUGUCUAACUUAAAUAAUGAAAACCAAAUAAAUCUGAUGUAACAGCGAAACUAUGGUGAAACGUCAUGUUUGUGGCAAAAUAUAAAUUAUGCCAACCAAAUACCCACCCUUUAAAAAUGUAAAAUCAAAUUCCUUCUUGUCACCAUGUCUAUCCAGUACAUUUGGAGACUACUUUUGAGUUGUAAGAAAGUUUAAUGUUGUCAAUAAUGUAUCAUUCCUGACCUCUGUUUCAUACUGACUGCACAGGAGAUGCUUAAAAUUAAUUUAAAUUUAAAUUAAAUAAAUUCAUUAAGUGGCCAAAAUAAUCACUGUCAGUUAUUCUAAAUUGUUGGGGUACAAACCGUAUAAAUUGCCAGGGUUUACGAUACGUUUAAAAUCAUUAAAACAAUGAAGUGUAAUUUUCUUUAUGGCAUUUAUAAUUGUGAAUAAAAUCACAUUGUUAAUUCAUUAAACUAUUAACAUGAAUUAAAAUGACAAGAGUUGCAGAACACAGAAAAUGUAGUAGAAUUUAAGAAAAUAGAUGGGAUUACUUGAUAAACUCAUGAUUCUAAUGAAAAUACAGUAAAAUUAUGGUAAAAUACAGUUUGUAUGACAAUACUGUAUUAAGUACCUCAACCCAACACCUAGCCUUAAUAUUCUAAAUACAAUGACUUUUUUUUGUAUACCAAAGAUGCAGAAAUUAUGUCCACUUUCUUUGGGAGACAUGCUGUCACGGCUUAAACACUGUUUCAUGAUGUCAAUAUCAAACUGGAAAAAAAAAAAAAAAAAAAAAAUGUAAGGAGGGUAACCAAAAGUUCCAAAUCAUUAAAAGAAAACAAAGUGUCAUUGCUUCAUUGCAUGAACAUCCAUCUAUAAAUGUGAAUAAAAGUAUAUCAUCAUCAUCAUCAAGUAGCCACUGAACUUCACCUUCAUUCCAAAUGAUUUAGCAAACAUUUACAUCUGACACAGCUUUUUGGCCGUGUUAACAUAUUAACAUAUGGACAUCCUCAGCCGUCAAUAUGCUCGACUGUGACACGUUGCCGUUCCCCUGUGGCCCCCCCCAAAACACUGUACUGUAUACAUAGC